rnacentral:rRNA from 1 species
ACUCCUACGGGAGGCAGCAGUGAGGAAUCUUGCGCAAUGGGGGAAACCCUGACGCAGCAACGCCGCGUGAGCGAAGGAAGGCCUUCGGGUGUAAAGCUCUGUCUAGUGGGAAAAAAGUCCUGGUGUAAAUAGCUCCAGGAUCUGAUGGUACCGCUGGAGGAAGCACCGGCUAACUCCGUGCCAGCAGCCGCGGUAAUACGGAGGGUGCAAGCGUUGUUCGGAAUUAUUGGGCGUAAAGGGCGUGUAGGCGGUUUGGUAAGUCAGAUGUGAAAGCCCUGGGCUUAACCCAGGAAGUGCAUUUGAAACUACCAGACUUGAGUAUGGGAGAGGAGAGUGGAAUUCCCAGUGUAGAGGUGAAAUUCGUAGAUAUUGGGAGGAACAUCCGUGGCGAAGGCGACUCUCUGGACCAAUACUGACGCUGAGACGCGAAAGCGUGGGGAGCAAACAGGAUUAGAUACCCUGGUAGUCCACGCCGUAAACGAUGAGAACUAGGUGUAGCGGGUAUUGACCCCUGCUGUGCCGCAGCUAACGCAUUAAGUUCUCCGCCUGGG